CCCGAGGCAGUCGCCAGUCCGAGUGUCAGGUGAACUGAACUUCAGCAUGUCUUUUGUCCCGUAUUCCUUCUCUCACCGCAAAUGGUAACUGGAUGCCCCUCCCUGAGCCUGGUUCUGUUGGAGGUUUCUUCCUGCUAAAAGUGAGUUUUUCCUUCCCACUGUCGCCAAAGUGUUUGCUCUUAAGACAUCAUAUGAUUGUUGGGUUUUUCUGUUUAUGUAUUAUUGUAGGGCUUACCUUACAAUAUAAAGCACCUUGAGGUUACUGCUGUUGUGAUUUGGCACUGUAUAAAUAAAACUGAAUUGAAUUGAAUUAAGACUGGAAUAGAAUUGGCUAAAACCUUUGACCUUUAUGAGCUGUUAACCUUGAGGUUUAAAAAGAUAAUCAUGCAGUAUGUGCACAGUUUGAAAUUGUGUGUCAUUGUGACAUCGUAGGGCAUUGCAUUGAAAACAUAGAAGGUGUGUUGUACACCUCUCUCCAUGCUCUUUCACAUGAUGUAUUACUUGAUAUGGUUUCUUGAAAAUCAAUGAAGGUCAAGUUUAUAGGUUUAGUUAACCUAGCUACAUGCCCCGACUUUCACCAACAUUAAAUCAGUUUAAGAUCCAAAUCUUUAUUCUAAACCCCAAGAGCUCAAAUAUUUUAUUUCACUCAACACUUAAAACAUGAGCACAUUAGCCAUUUUAAUAAACUAAACUGUUUAUCAAACAAUCCUUUACAUCAUUCUUGACGAACAGUCUGUGAGCUUUCAGUCCUGAUGCUCAUGCUCUUGUCCGGGUAUGAGCCAGCGUAUGCUGUCGGUCCGCAGGAUGGCGUACAGGGUGAAGCUUGUGAUGAAGAGGAUGGAGAAGACCAGCAGCCAGUCGA